CCUACGGGAGGCAGCAGUGGGGAAUUUUGGACAAUGGGCGCAAGCCUGAUCCAGCAAUGCCGCGUGAGUGAAGAAGGCCUUCGGGUUGUAAAGCUCUUUUGUCAGGGAAGAAACGGUGGGAGCUAAUAUCUCCUACUAAUGACGGUACCUGAAGAAUAAGCACCGGCUAACUACGUGCCAGCAGCCGCGGUAAUACGUAGGGUGCAAGCGUUAAUCGGAAUUACUGGGCGUAAAGCGUGCGCAGGCGGUUUUGUAAGUCUGUCGUGAAAGCCCCGGGCUCAACCUGGGAAUUGCGAUGGAGACUGCAAGGCUUGAAUCUGGCAGAGGGGGGUAGAAUUCCACGUGUAGCAGUGAAAUGCGUAGAGAUGUGGAGGAACACCGAUGGCGAAGGCAGCCCCCUGGGUCAAGAUUGACGCUCAUGCACGAAAGCGUGGGGAGCAAACAGGAUUAGAUACCCUGGUAGUCCACGCCCUAAACGAUGUCUACUAGUUGUCGGGUUUUAAUUAACUUGGUAACGCAGCUAGCGCGUGAAGUAGACCGCCUGGGGAGUACGGUCGCAAGNUUAAAACUCAAAGGAUUGACGGCNGAGAGNGCGAGACGACGACGAGGGAGGAGG
rnacentral:rRNA from 1 species